rnacentral:rRNA from 1 species
AUUGAACGCUGGCGGCAUGCCUUACACAUGCAAGUCGAACGGUAACAGGUCUUCGGAUGCUGACGAGUGGCGAACGGGUGAGUAAUACAUCGGAACGUGCCCGAGAGUGGGGGAUAACGAGGCGAAAGCUUUGCUAAUACCGCAUACGAUCUCAGGAUGAAAGCAGGGGACCGCAAGGCCUUGCGCUCACGGAGCGGCCGAUGGCAGAUUAGGUAGUUGGUGGGAUAAAAGCUUACCAAGCCGACGAUCUGUAGCUGGUCUGAGAGGACGACCAGCAACACUGGGACUGAGACACGGCCCAGACUCCUACGGGAGGCAGCAGUGGGGAAUUUCGGACAAUGGGCGCAAGCCUGAUCCAGCCAUGCCGCGUGCAGGAUGAAGGCCUUCGGGUUGUAAACUGCUUUUGUACGGAACGAAAAGACUCUGGUUAAUACCUGGGGUCCAUGACGGUACCGUAAGAAUAAGCACCGGCUAACUACGUGCCAGCAGCCGCCGUAACAC